rnacentral:rRNA from 1 species
GACGAACGCUGGCGGCGUGCCUAAUACAUGCAAGUCGAGCGAAUGGAAGGGAGCUUGCUCCCUGAAGUUAGCGGCGGACGGGUGAGUAACACGUGGGCAACCUGCCUGUAAGACUGGGAUAACUUCGGGAAACCGGAGCUAAUACCGGAUACGUUCUUUCCUCGCAUGAGGAAAGAUGGAAAGAUGGUUUCGGCUAUCACUUACAGAUGGGCCCGCGGCGCAUUAGCUAGUUGGUGGGGUAACGGCCCACCAAGGCCACGAUGCGUAGCCGACCUGAGAGGGUGAUCGGCCACACUGGGACUGAGACACGGCCCAGACUCCUACGGGAGGCAGCAGUAGGGAAUCUUCCGCAAUGGACGAAAGUCUGACGGAGCAACGCCGCGUGAGCGAAGAAGGCCUUCGGGUCGUAAAGCUCUGUUGUCAGGGAAGAACAAGUGCCAGAGUAACUGCUGGCACCUUGACGGUACCUGACCAGAAAGCCACGGCUAACUACGUGCCAGCCGCCGCCGUAAUAC